ensembl:lncRNA
GAUCACACACAGAUUUUUUUUUUACUUUGUUUUUUGAGAUUACUUGAAAAUAAUAUUUUUAAAAAUGAUAUGUAGGACUUCUAAUUUUUUUGAAAAAAAUACUCUUUCAGGUGGGAACGGAGAAGGAACAAGAUGAUGUCUCACUAAGAGUGGUUUGUAGGUGCCAUGGCCAAAGGCUGUACUGACAGAUGUCCUCUGUCUUCAAACCUGUGGGUAUAUUGCUGGAAGGAGCGCAUGCAAAGUCUGUUGGGCUUUUCUCAAGGCAAUAUCUUACCAAAAACAACCAUACGAAGUCUUCGUACUCGAGGAGUGCAGCUUUACAAGCAAUAUAUAAAAGACUGUGAUAAACAUCUGCAUGUAUCUGACGACUGCUAGACGACGAGGGUCGAAAUGAACCGUGUGACGUUCUCCGAGAAGAUAAGACACUUGGUGCUGAACGUCAAGCGAUAUUAGCCUGUGCAGUCAGAAGGUGGAUGCUGGAAUCACAAAGCAGCCACUCAGAUUUCCUCAGCACAUGCUCCGUAUUUAUGUAAACACAAGAAGAAGAUUCCAAGGAGAUAGCAAUUGUCUCACCAGCUCCCUCACCAGCUUCCAGACCACUUUCUUGUGCAGCUGCAACAAUGAUUCAUCCCUGUUCCCAUGCACUUCUAGCCAGUGAGAGCGCAGCAGGCACCUGGUGUGCUAAAUAAUCCUCAGGCAGUAGGCUCAGAGAUAAUUAACUCUUUAGUUACUGUAUUAAGAUAUCUUGCAAAACACAUGCCUAACAGUGAAAUAGGAUCCCACAGGAAAGUGGCUGAAGCCCUGUUUCUUGCUGAAGCCAAGACAAAGCAAUAUAUUGGAGAGAAGGGAGAGGAUAAUGUAGGCAGAUCUAACGUAAGGGGCAGUCUGUUUCAGGAGAAUGUAAAGAAGAAAAGGCUUAAUAGUCUGUCUUAAAUGUGUAAGGAUCUUCUCAGCAUGUAAUAUUAGAGAGGAUAGAUGUAAGAUGGGAGAUAUUAAAGGCUGGAAGACUCUCAGGCUCCAUCUCAGCUGUAGGAAGGUACAGAGCAUUGCAAUAUCAGGGGAAUAUCUAAGGGAGGUCAGGCUGAAAGCUGAUAAGCGAAAGGAGGCCGCAGCCUCUCUUUGAACCUCAGCAUUUCUAAAACCGGAGAUUAGUGGCAGCAUUAGUAUUUGUUGGCUCCUUGGGUUGGUUCCAAAGCUGCACAUCAAAAGGAUGUUCUGGGAACAGAGAGGGAGAGACAGAGAGGCGACGAGGCAGUCCUGUCCAUCCUGCAGAUCCCAAAAGCUGUGGAACUAUUCCCUGGAACGCAAGGUUUAGUAGGCUCCCGCCUGCCCUUUUCUGCACUCAUUUCAAGGAAUGAUAUGGCCUUAUACCACUAAAAAAGAUGCAUGAUGGCAAGGAGAGUUCACAACAGCUCUCUUUUGGACCAUUUUCUGAAGCUUUAUCUCAGGCAAAUGAGGAAGUAGGAGGAACAUGCUCAUUGUGAAUGUGUCCCUCUGUGACUCUGCACUUGUGCAGCAAGUCCUGUAUCUACUCCAUUCCCUUGGCCUCCGCGACGUGCAACUUCUUUCACUCCUCUGAUUUUUCACAGGGGAAUUUGCCACAGGGAAUGCAAAUGAAGAAAAUUUCCAAUCCUACAAAAGUAAUUGCUGCAUUAUGUCUAAGGGUAUGGGCCUAGUCUCUAUAAUACACAGUUAAAAAAAAAAAGUCAUAUGUGAUGAAAACAGAGAUGUGUGGGCAUCUGGGGCCAAAUUCUGACUUUGUUCCUUUGCAGUCAAUACUUUGGGGGAGUUGGUGGACAAUUCAGAGAGCCAAAAUGAUAUCCAAGCAGUAGAGCGGUGAACACGGACCUCUUGCUUUAUAAAGCACCUACUGCAGUUAUGUCACUGUGCUGAACGAUUGGUGCAACUCCAGGGAUGAAAAAAUGAUAAAGGAAAGACAGGCAAUCUUUCUAAAUACAAAAAUGAUAGGUUAGUGAAAAGUUGCCUAAAGCUUAAAAAAAUUUGGUGGAAUGUCCUUUCCCAUCAUCCACUUCUCUUUCCUUCCCCUUCCUCAGCCCCAGCCUGCUGCCCUGUUAACGUGUGCAGCAGAGGUGGACUUGUCAAGCUUUCAAGAGGCAGAAUACUGAAAAGGUCAGAGUAGUAUAGUAUGACAGAGCACGUAAGUCAUUAUCAUUCUAAUAUUGUGUUUGUAAUGAGAACGAGAGCAGAGCAAAUUAUUGUGAAAUACACGGUAAAACUUGGGAAAACAUCGUAGUUAUAUUGCCACCAAAGUUCUCAUCACUCGCUUUAAUGACAAGUAGAGUCUAUGUGCUUCUUCAUAACUGUGCUCUGUAGCUUGGAGGAGUCUGAAAUAAAAAGAUUUGUGACAAUUUCCA